rnacentral:rRNA from 1 species
AACGAACGUUAGCGGCGCGCCUAACACAAGCAAGUCGAGCGAGAAAGGGAGCAAUCCCCGGUACAGCGACGCACGGGUGAGUAACACGUAGGUAACCUAUCUUCGAAUGGUGGAUAACCUUUCGAAAGGAGGGCUAAUACAGCAUAAGCCCACGACUCCGAGAGGGGAUGGGGGAAAAGCCGGCCUCUUCAUGAAAGCUGGUGUUCGAGGCUGGGCCUGCGGCCCAUCAGCUAGUUGGUGAGGUAAUGGCUCACCAAGGCUAAGACGGGUAGCUGGUCUGAGAGGAUGAUCAGCCACACUGGAACUGAGACACGGUCCAGACUCCUACGGGAGGCAGCAGUGGGGAAUCUUGCGCAAUGGGCGAAAGCCUGACGCAGCGACGCCGCGUGAGUGAUGAAGGCCUUCGGGUUGUAAAGCUCUGUGGAGGGGGACGAAUAAGGCAUGGCUAACAUCCAUGUCGAUGACGGUACCCCUUUAGCAAGCACCGGCUAACUCUGUGCCAGCCGCCGCGGUAAGAC